GUCGAGCGGCAGCGGGAAAGUAGCUUGCUACUUUUGCCGGCGAGCGGCGGACGGGUGAGUAAUGCCUGGGGAUCUGCCCAGUCGAGGGGGAUAACAGUUGGAAACGACUGCUAAUACCGCAUACGCCCUACGGGGGAAAGGAGGGGACCUUCGGGCCUUUCGCGAUUGGAUGAACCCAGGUGGGAUUAGCUAGUUGGUGGGGUAAUGGCUCACCAAGGCGACGAUCCCUAGCUGGUCUGAGAGGAUGAUCAGCCACACUGGAACUGAGACACGGUCCAGACUCCUACGGGAGGCAGCAGUGGGGAAUAUUGCACAAUGGGGGAAACCCUGAUGCAGCCAUGCCGCGUGUGUGAAGAAGGCCUUCGGGUUGUAAAGCACUUUCAGCGAGGAGGAAAGGUUGGCGCCUAAUACGUGUCAACUAUGACGUUACUCGCAGAAGAAGCACCGGCUAACUCCGUGCCAGCAGCCGCGGUAAU
rnacentral:rRNA from 1 species